rnacentral:rRNA from 1 species
CUACGGGUGGCAGCAGUGGGGAAUAUUGCACAAUGGAGGAAACCCUGAUGCAGCAACGCCGCGUGGAGGAUGACGCAUUUCGGUGUGUAAACUCCUUUUAUAUGUCAAGAAAAUGACGGUAGCAUAUGAAUAAGCACCGGCUAACUCCGUGCCAGCAGCCGCGGUAAUACGGAGGGUGCAAGCGUUACUCGGAAUCACUGGGCGUAAAGGACGCGUAGGCGGGUUGGAAAGUCAGGUGUGAAAUCCUACAGCUUAACUGUAGAACUGCACUUGAAACUUCUAAUCUAGAGUAUGGGAGGGGGAGAUGGAAUUAGUGGUGUAGGGGUAAAAUCCGUAGAUAUCACUAGGAAUACCUAAAGCGAAGGCGAUCUCCUGGAACAUUACUGACGCUAAGGCGUGAAAGCGUGGGGAGCAAACAGGAUUAGAUACCCCGGUAGUC